rnacentral:rRNA from 1 species
AUGGCGGAUCCGGUGACUGUUGCUGCUGCAGCCAUAGGAUGGGGCCUGAAAGCCAUAGGCUGGGUCGCCUCGCCGGUCAUCUCCGACCUUUUCAAGAAAUGCUCCUCCUUCGUUAGCUUUGACACAUCGGAGAGGCUGAGAAAACUCGAGUCCAAGAUUUUACUUCUGGAGCGGGUGAUGGAGAUGGUGGCAGAGAGCCCUCACAGGGUUCGUCUCCAGCAGCUGUUGGAGGACCUCAAGACUUCUUUCUACGAAGCUGAAGACAUCUUGGAUGAUGUUGAGUAUCAUCACCUCGAGAAGCAGGUCAAAGAUUACGAGCUCAGCUCAGACGGGUCUCCAAGUACCAUGGAUUUGCUAAAGCAGAAGGUCCAGUCCCUGGCCGUCUCCCCACUAACAAAUAAGGAGACUGGUAUGUCCAAAAGUCAAUUAAAGCAUAGCCUAGAGAAAAUAGAAAAGGUUAUAAAUGAAGCACACCAAAUUUUGGAAUGGCUGAACUUCCCCACCGUAAAUAAGGGCGACGAGAGACAACCUAUUGCAGCCAAUGCCUGUACCACUGCAACUUCCCCAGUAAAGGUAAUUGGUCGAGAUGAGGAUCGUGACAAGAUCAUAGAAAUGCUUCAUGAGAAUGCCAGUCAUGGUCAGACAAACAUGAAUAGCAGUCUAUGUUAUUCUGUUGUUGGAAUUCAUGGCAUAGGUGGGUCUGGGAAAUCAACCCUUGGAUAG